rfam:Gossypium hirsutum cultivar TM-1 chromosome 18, whole genome shotgun sequence
AAUAAGAGCAUGACAAAUAAGUUUUUUCCUCCUGAUUUUUAGUUUUUUCCUUCAUAAAAAAUUCAAAUCCAACUAAAAAUCCUAAAAAUUAGGAGGAAAAAUUUGAUUUAUCAUGUUCCUAUU